GCCGGUAUAGCUCAGCUGGUAGAGCAACUGACUUGUAAUCAGUAGGUCCCGGGUUCGACCGGGUUCGACUCCUGGUGCCGGCACCA
rnacentral:tRNA from 1 species